rnacentral:lncRNA from 1 species
GUGGUAUGGUCGCUACAUACAAUAUAGUCAUCAAAUAUCCUUAUAAUUGAUUAUGAUUGCAGAUUGCUUUAUGAAGUAUCUUCUCCCCAUUUUCUGCUGGUAUUAGGAAAUUAUGAAGUAACUUCACGGAUACUCUUUGAAUCAAAGAAACUAUUGGAUGGCCUGUGAUGUUAGAGGAAUUUUUUAAAAUUGAUGUCUUUGAUGUGACUUUUUAAAAAACUCUUGCAUCUGUGUGCUUAUUUUGGAUUAUUCGAAUUAAAGAUUUAUUUUCAUUUUGCUAUGUGGAAAGUUGAUGUUUGUUGUGGUUGUUCUGCAAUUGGAACAACGGUAUCGUAGUUGCCAUUUCACAAUACUUUCUCCUCAAUUCUCUGCAGGUGUUUCAUACUUUCUAUAAAUAGCCUGUUUAAUGUUGAGAAAUUAUUGAAAUGACCUCUGAUGUUGGGGGAACUACUUCACAUGGUUGUCUUUAGUGUGACUCCACUGGGAGAGUAUCCACCAUCCUAUCUUAACAUUGUGGAUCUCUACUAUCUGAGAUUGUUCUCCACGAAAUUUUUCUUCAUGGAAAGGGAUGUUUUAUGUGCUGUCUGCGAUCUGCACAACAAUAUCACUGAGAUAGUGUAAUUAAACUCGCUAGAUUGUGCUGAUUAUUAACUUGUCUUUUGACACUGAAAAUAUACUUUUUCAACCUAUGCUACAGUACGUGUUCAAUGGUCAUAUUGGGGUAUCAAAUUAAUAAGUCACACCAUGAAGGUUUGGAAGCGGGUGAUCGAGGCGAGGGUGAGGGAGAUGACAUUUAUAUUUGUAAACCAGUUCGGUUUCAUGUCGGGUCGCUCCACUAUAGAAGCUAUCCACCUUGUCAGGAGGCUGGUGGAGCAGUUCAGGGAUAAGAAGAAGGACCUGCACAUGGUGCUUAUCGANNNNNNNNNNNNNNNNNNNNNNNNNNNNNNNNNNNNNNNNNNNNNNNNNNNUAUCUGUGAACCAGUUCGGUUUCAUGCCGGGUCGCUCCACUACAGAAGCUAUCCACCUUGUCAGGAGGCUGGUGGAGCAGUUCAGGGAUAAGAAGAAAAGACCUGCACAUGGUGCUUAUCGACUUGGAGAAGGAUAUGAUAAGGUCCCAAGGGAGGUGCUAUGGAGGUGCUUGGAGGCGGAGAGCGUGCCGGAAGCCUACAUCAGAGUAAUCAAGGACAUGUUCGAUGGAGCUAACACUAGGGUUAGGACGGUUUGCGGCGACUCAGACCAUUUUCCAGUGGUUAUGGGGCUCCAUUAAGGAUCGGCGCUUAGCCCUCUCUUGUUUGCCUUGGUGAUGGAUGCUCUAACCNNNN